rnacentral:rRNA from 1 species
GAUGAACGCUGGCGGCGUGCCUAAUACAUGCCAGUCGAGCGAACAGACGAGGAGCUUGCUCCUCUGACGUUAGCGGCGGACGGGUGAGUAACACGUGGAUAACCUACCUAUAAGACUGGGAUAACUUCGGGAAACCGGAGCUAAUACCGGAUAAUAUAUUGAACCGCAUUGUUCAAUAGUGAAAGUCGGUUUUGCUGUCACUUAUAGCUGGAUCCGCGCCGCAUUAGCUAGUUGGUAAGGUAACGGCUUACCAAGGCAACGAUGCGUAGCCGACCUGAGAGGGUGAUCGGACACACUGGAACUGAGACACGGUCCAGACUCCUACGGGAGGCAGCAGUAGGGAAUCUUCCGCAAUGGGCGAAAGCCUGACAGAGCAACGCCGCGUGAGUGAUGAAGGACUUCGGAUCGUAAAGCUCUGAUGUUAGGGAAGAACAAAUGUGUAAGUAACUAUGCACGUCUUGACGGUACCUAAUCAGAAAGCCACGGCUAACUACGUG